rnacentral:rRNA from 1 species
GUUGAACGCUGGCGGCAGGCCUAACACAUGCAAGUCGAACGGCAGCACGGCAGUAGCAAUACUGUGGGUGGCGAGUGGCGGACGGGUGAGGAAUACAUCGGGAUCUACCCUGUUGUGGGGGAUAACGUAGGGAAACUUACGCUAAUACCGCAUAAGAACUGAGGUUGAAAGCGGCGGACCGCAAGGCGUCGCGCGAUUGGAUGAACCGAUGUCCGAUUAGCUAGUUGGCGGGUAAAGGCCCACCAAGGCGACGAUCGGUAGCUGGUCUGAGAGGACGACCAGCCACACUGGAACUGAGACACGGUCCAGACUCCUACGGGAGGCAGCAGUGGGGAAUAUUGGACAAUGGGCGCAAGCCUGAUCCAGCCAUGCCGCGUGGGUGAAGAAGGCCUCGGGUUGU